UGGGGAAUAUUGCACAAUGGGCGCAAGCCUGAUGCAGCAACGCCGCGUGAGCGAAGAAGGUAUUCGGAUCGUAAAGCUCUUUUCUUAGGGAAGAAAAAUGACGGUACCUAAGGAAUAAGCACCGGCUAAAUACGUGCCAGCAGCCGCGGUAAUACGUAUGGUGCAAGCGUUAUCCGGAAUCACUGGGCGUAAAGGGUACGUAGGCGGUUUUGCAAGUCAGAAGUGAAAGGCUACGGCUCAACCGUAGUAAGCUUUUGAAACUGCAAGACUAGAGUGCAGGAGAGGCAAGUGGAAUUCCUAGUGUAGAGGUGAAAUUCGUAGAUAUUAGGAGGAACACCAGUGGCGAAGGC
rnacentral:rRNA from 1 species